GAUGAACGCUGACAGAAUGCUUAACACAUGCAAGUCAACUUGAACUUCGGUUUGGGUGGCGGACGGGUGAGUAACGCGUAAAGAACUUGCCUCACAGAUAGGGACAACAUUUGGAAACGAAUGCUAAUACCUGAUAUUAUGAUUUUAGGGCAUCCUAGGAUUAUGAAAGCUAUAUGCACUGUGAGAGAGCUUUGCGUCCCAUUAGCUAGUUGGAGAGGUAACGGCUCACCAAGGCGAUGAUGGGUAGCCGGCCUGAGAGGGUGAUCGGCCACAAGGGGACUGAGACACGGCCCUUACUCCUACGGGAGGCAGCAGUGGGGAAUAUUGGACAAUGGACCAAGAGUCUGAUCCAGCAAUUCUGUGUGCACGAUGAAGUUUUUCGGAAUGUAAAGUGCUUUCAGUUGGGAAGAAAAAAAUGACGGUACCAACAGAAGAAGUGACGGCUAAAUACGUGCCAGCAGCCGCGGUAAUACGUAUGUCACAAGCGUUAUCCGGAUUUAUUGGGCGUAAAGCGCGUCUAGGUGGUUAUGUAAGUCUGAUGUGAAAAUGCAGGGCUCAACUCUGUAUUGCGUUGGAAACUGUGUAACUAGAGUACUGGAGAGGUAGGCGGAACUACAAGUGUAGAGGUGAAAUUCGUAGAUAUUUGUAGGAAUGCCGAUGGGGAAGCCAGCUUACUGGGCAGAUACCGACGCUGAAGCGCGAAAGCGUGGGUAGCAAACAGG
rnacentral:rRNA from 1 species